GCUGGGAUAGCUCAGCCGGUUGAGCAAUAGACUCUAAAUCUCAGGGUUGUGGGUUGGAGUUCCAUGUUGAGCA